GUCCAGACAUAGUAAGGAUUGACAGACUGAGAGCUCUUUCUUGACUCUAUGGGUGGUGGUGCAUGACCGUUCUUAGUUGGUGGAAUGAUUUGUCUGAUUAAUUCUGUUAACGAACGAGACCUCAGGCUGCUAAAUAGUUAUGUGGAGGCAUUAUAUUAUAUGUUAUGCUUUAAAUAGUUUAUUGUAUUUUUCAAUACUAAUAUUAUUUAGUUUAUUUUUUAUCAGAUAUUAUUUAGUCUAUUAAUUUUAUAUUAUACACAAUGGU
rnacentral:ncRNA from 1 species